AAAUAUAAUUUCUCUGUUGGGAUAAAUUGUCCAAUAGAACUAAAAUGUGUUUUUGUUUCUUUAGUUGACAGAAACAGAUGCCAAUCUUGUUAAAAGUCGACAAAUUUUAAAAGGAAUGUUAAGGAGAAUGAUGACAGACAAGAUGAUCCUUGCUGUGUUUAUACUUAUUGAGUUAGCAUGUCUAGGAGGUGUUAUUUAUUGGAAGUUUUUCAGCUGAUGCAUCUGUUCCCUCAUGGGUGGCCUCUUUGUUGUACAAACUAACUGGAUCAAUCUAUUUAUUUGCCUAAUAUUUGUAUAAGAAUGUCUUGUCAUUGCCAUUUGAUGCAUAUAGCAUUAGGACUUUGUGCUUUAUUGUACGCUGACUCAUCAUUAAAGCUUCUGUUGGUAUGAGGUUGCUUGUAAUAGACUGACAGACCCCAGAAAGUUAAGAUGAUA
rnacentral:sRNA from 1 species